rnacentral:rRNA from 1 species
AUAGGGGAGCCGGAGGGAAACCGAGUCUUAACCGGGCGUUAAGUUGCAGGGUAUAGACCCGAAACCCGGUGAUCUAGCCAUGGGCAGGUUGAAGGUUGGGUAACACUAACUGGAGGACCGAACCGACUAAUGUUGAAAAAUUAGCGGAUGACCUGUGGCUGGGGGUGAAAGGCCAAUCAAACCGGGAGAUAGCUGGUUCUCCCCGAAAGCUAUUUAGGUAGCGCCUCGUGAAUUCAUCUCCGGGGGUAGAGCACUGUUUCGGCUAGGGGGCCAUCCCGGCUUACCAACCCGAUGCAAACUGCGAAUACCGGAGAAUGUUAUCACGGGAGACACACGGCGGGUGCUAACGUCCGUCGUGAAGAGGGAAACAACCCAGACCGCCAGCUAAGGUCCCAAAGUCAUGGUUAAGUGGGAAACGAUGUGGGAAGGCCCAGACAGCCAGGAUGUUGGCUUAGAAGCAGCCAUCAUUUAAAGAAAGCGUAAUAGCUCACUGGUCGAGUCGGCCUGCGCGGAAGAUGUAACGGGGCUAAACCAUGCACCGAAGCUGCGGCAGCGACACUCAGGUGUUGUUGGGUAGGGGAGCGUUCUGUAAGCCUGUGAAGGUGGCCUGUGAGGGUUGCUGGAGGUAUCAGAAGUGCGAAUGCUGACAUAAGUAACGAUAAAGCGGGUGAAAAGCCCGCUCGCCGGAAGACCAAGGGUUCCUGUCCAACGUUAAUCGGGGCAGGGUGAGUCGACCCCUAAGGCGAGGCCGAAAGGCGUAGUCGAUGGGAAACGGGUUAAUAUUCCCGUACUUGGUGUUACUGCGAAGGGGGGACGGAGAAGGCUAUGUUGGCCGGGCGACGGUUGUCCCGGUUUAAGCGUGUAGGUGUGUGUUCCAGGUAAAUCCGGUUCACUUUAACACUGAGGCGUGAUGACGAGGCGCUACGGUGCUGAAGCAACAAAUGCCCUGCUUCCAGGAAAAGCCUCUAAGCAUCAGGUAACAUCAAAUCGUACCCCAAACCGACACAGGUGGUCAGGUAGAGAAUACCAAGGCGCUUGAGAGAACUCGGGUGAAGGAACUAGGCAAAAUGGUGCCGUAACUUCGGGAGAAGGCACGCUGACACGUAGGUGAAGUGAUUUACUCAUGGAGCUGAAGUCAGUCGAAGAUACCAGCUGGCUGCAACUGUUUAUUAAAAACACAGCACUGUGCAAACACGAAAGUGGACGUAUACGGUGUGACGCCUGCCCGGUGCCGGAAGGUUAAUUGAUGGGGUCAGCGCAAGCGAAGCUCCUGAUCGAAGCCCCGGUAAACGGCGGCCGUAACUAUAACGGUCCUAAGGUAGCGAAAUUCCUUGUCGGGUAAGUUCCGACCUGCACGAAUGGCGUAAUGAUGGCCAGGCUGUCUCCACCCGAGACUCAGUGAAAUUGAACUCGCUGUGAAGAUGCAGUGUACCCGCGGCAAGACGGAAAGACCCCGUGAACCUUUACUAUAGCUUGACACUGAACAUUGAGCCUUGAUGUGUAGGAUAGGUGGGAGGCUUUGAAGUGUGGACGCCAGUCUGCAUGGAGCCGACCUUGAAAUACCACCCUUUAAUGUUUGAUGUUCUAACGUGGACCCGUGAUCCGGGUUGCGGACAGUGUCUGGUGGGUAGUUUGACUGGGGCGGUCUCCUCCUAAAGAGUAACGGAGGAGCACGAAGGUUGGCUAAUCCUGGUCGGACAUCAGGAGGUUAGUGCAAUGGCAUAAGCCAGCUUGACUGCGAGCGUGACGGCGCGAGCAGGUGCGAAAGCAGGUCAUAGUGAUCCGGUGGUUCUGAAUGGAAGGGCCAUCGCUCAACGGAUAAAAGGUACUCCGGGGAUAACAGGCUGAUACCGCCCAAGAGUUCAUAUCGACGGCGGUGUUUGGCACCUCGAUGUCGGCUCAUCACAUCCUGGGGCUGAAGUAGGUCCCAAGGGUAUGGCUGUUCGCCAUUUAAAGUGGUACGCGAGCUGGGUUUAGAACGUCGUGAGACAGUUCGGUCCCUAUCUGCCGUGGGCGCUGGAGAACUGAGGGGGGCUGCUCCUAGUACGAGAGGACCGGAGUGGACGCAUCACUGGUGUUCGGGUUGUCAUGCCAAUGGCACUGCCCGGUAGCUAAAUGCGGAAGAGAUAAGUGCUGAAAGCAUCUAAGCACGAAACUUGCCCCGA